CCUACGGGUGGCAGCAGUGGGGAAUAUUGCACAAUGAGCGAAACCCUGAUGCAGCGACGCCGCGUGAGUGAAGAAGUAUUUCGGUAUGUAAAGCUCUAUCAGCAGGGAAGAAAAUGACGGUACCUGAUUAAGAAGCCCCGGCUAACUACGUGCCAGCAGCCGCUGGCAUACGUAGGGGGCAAGCGUUAUCCGGAUGUACUGGGUGUAAAGGGGGCGUAGACGGCAGCACAAGUCUGGAGUGAAAUGCCUGGGCUUAACCCCGGAACUGCUUUGGAAACUGGGCAGCUAGAGUGCAGGAGAGGUAAGUGGAAUGCCUGGUGUAGCGGUGAAAUGCGUAGAUAUUAGGAGGAACACCAGUGGCGAAGGCGGCUUACUGGACUGUAACUGACGUUGAGGCUCGAAAGCGUGGGGAGCAAACAGGAUUAGAUACCCUUGUAGUC
rnacentral:rRNA from 1 species